GACGUAGGGCGCGAGCGUUGUCCGGAUUUAUUGGGCGUAAAGAGCUCGUAGGCGGCUUGUUGCGUCGACCGUGAAAACCCGCGGCUUAACUGCGGGCUUGCGGUCGAUACGGGCGGGCUGGAGUUCGGUAGGGGAGACUGGAAUUCCAGGUGUAGCGGUGAAAUGCGCAGAUAUCAGGAGGAACACCGGUGGCGAAGGCGGGUCUCUGGGCCGAUACUGACGCUGAGGAGCGAAAGCGUGGGGAGCGAACAGG
rnacentral:rRNA from 1 species